AAUGAACGCUGGCGGCAGGCCUAACACAUGCAAGUCGAGCGAGACCUUCGGGUCUAGCGGCGGACGGGUGAGUAACGCGUGGGAAUAUGCCCUUUGGUACGGAAUAGCCUCGGGAAACUGAGAGUAAUACCGUAUGUGCCCUUCGGGGGAAAGAUUUAUCGCCAAAGGAUUAGCCCGCGUUGGAUUAGGUAGUUGGUGGGGUAAUGGCCUACCAAGCCUACGAUCCAUAGCUGGUUUGAGAGGAUGAUCAGCCACACUGGGACUGAGACACGGCCCAGACUCCUACGGGAGGCAGCAGUGGGGAAUCUUAGACAAUGGGGGCAACCCUGAUCUAGCCAUGCCGCGUGAGUGAUGAAGGCCUUAGGGUUGUAGAGCUCUUUCAGCUGGGAAGAUAAUGACGGUACCAGCAGAAGAAGCCCCGGCUAACUCCGUGCCAGCCGCCGCAGUAACAC
rnacentral:rRNA from 1 species